ensembl:misc_RNA 7SK 7SK RNA
AUGAGGGAGAUUUGGCUGUGACGUCUUUUACCCCAUUGAUUUCCAGGGUUGAUCCGGCUGAUCUUCCUGGUUAGGUGGGUGUCCCCUUCCUCCCUCCCUACUCUGUAUGCAUCCCUCCCAAACUUAGGGCUCCAUCAAAGAGGACAACCUUCCCCGAAUGGCAGAGGACCAGUCUUCAGUCUAGGGUAUACAAAUAGCUGCACUCCCCUGCUAUUACCUCCGAACAAGCUCUCAGGCAUUAAUUCUUUACUGCAUUUGUCCAGUGAACCCUACUCAAUGUGAAGUAUUUCCCCAGAUGCUAAAUGGCUCUCUUUG